rnacentral:rRNA from 1 species
UACAGAGGGGGCAAGCGUUGUUCGGAAUUACUGGGCGUAAAGGGCGCGUAGGCGGCUUGUUAAGUCAGGGGUGAAAUCCUGGAGCUCAACUCCAGAACUGCCUUUGAUACUGGCGAGCUUGAGUUCGGGAGAGGUGAGUGGAACUGCGAGUGUAGAGGUGAAAUUCGUAGAUAUUCGCAAGAACACCAGUGGCGAAGGCGGCUCACUGGCCCGAUACUGACGCUGAGGUGCGAAAGCGUGGGGAGCAAACAGG